rnacentral:lncRNA from 1 species
CUGGGUUUAUGAGUGCUAGUGGUGGUUCAUUUUCAGUGACAGGAUCUCACUUCUGGCAGUCCACUGCCUGAAUUCCAAGGCAUGCCUCGUGUCCCAACUGCUUUCUCCUUUUAGCUCCCAGCUCUAAGGCCUAUGGAGGGUCAGGAGUCCUUAACAACAGCUGAAUCAGAAUGCACUCAGUUCCCUUGCUCCUAGCUAACUGCAAGUUGGACACUGUUCUAAGCACCUUACUAUUCCACUUAAUCUUCAUGCUAUAUCAAAUUAAGUAUUACUGUUUUACAGAUAAGAAACAAGCUUAGAGUAAUCUCCUAAGAGUUACAUAUUAGCAUGUUAUCACACUUUUAUUUAACUCUUUGUUUUGCCACAGGUAGCUUUUCACCACCCCUCCCUAUUUUUAAGCUCAGAUAUGUAUUCAUACACUUACAUAAUUAAAUUUCUUCACCAUUUCAGUAUUUAUAGUGGGAGGAGAAGUCUUCCACAUUAGUUUAGGAUGACAUGGCUGGAACAUGCCUGGAAUUCUGAGAGUGGGGUAUACAUGUGUGUCUAUAAGUAGUUGGAUGUGAGCAAGGGAGAGAGGUAAAGAAGGCAUAGUUCUGUUUUGAAUUACAGAGAAAACAGCACUUUUAGUGAUGAAUUUACACUCCUCCUCUGCUUUGGAACUGCUCUUCCUUUGUAGCCCAACUCUACAGCCUCCCUCUCAACUCCCAGCCAACCACAUGCCAAACUUUUUCACUUGUAUUUUCUUAAAAAUGUCUCCAAAUCAUCUACUGCCGCCUCCUCAUUUCAAGCCUCUGUUUAUACCUCACUGCAACUGGGCCAUAUCCCAAGAAAAUAAGCCCACACUCUGACUUGUCUCCACUUGUCCCACACAGACAGCAUAGUGAUCUCUCUCAAUCACAAUGCGAUCAUGUCACUCCUCUACCAACUGUGAUGGAGUGGUUCCAACUACUCUUGGGAUAAAAGCCAAAAUCCUCAGUGUAUCUCAGAAGACCUGGCAUGUUCUGUUCUUGCCUCACUCUCCAGCCUCAUGUACGCCACUCUGACCUUUUUAUUCCAAGUGCACCAAAUUCCCUCCCAGAGCCUUUUAUAUAUGCUACUCAUUCUGCUUAUAAUACUGUUCCUGGAAAAUAUAAUUAAAUAAGUAUUCCUGAUUUUUAUUGUUGUUGUUGUUAUAGGUCUAUAGCUUCUCAUAGACUGCAGGUUCAGUGUGGUCAGGAAUGAGUCUCAUUCCUGCUAUUAACAAGGAAUUUAGACAAUGAACAUGCUCAAUAAAUAUUUGUUGAAAGGAAAGGAAAUGUUAUGAACUUCAAAUGUGCUUUUGUUAGAAUAAAGUUGAGUAUGAACUAGGGUAAAUAACUGACCAUUUUAAUUUUGAUAAGAGGAGAAAAAUAAAUUAUUUCCUGUAAAGGAAAGUUUUUGAGAAAAAGAAGAUAGGGAGUAGAAGUGAAGAUGUAUGAGUUUUUACAAGUCCUCUUAUUUCAACUCAUUUAUUAGGGAAUGAACAAAAUCAUUCCAACUUGAGAUCUUGAGAUAAUUUCUUCCAACCACUACAGAUGUAGCCAACUUGGCUUAGCAUGAUGGGUCAUAUUUUGGGAACAUUAUUUUAAUAAUUGUUACUUAAAAUAGCAACAUUUUGGAGUAGUUUAAUAAAAAUAAAAUGACCACUUUUCUUUUUAGGUUACUUUCGUGCUUUCUUCUUUCCAAAGUAGAGUUUUUACUCAGUAUUCUGCUUUUUCCAUUACUAAGAUUUACAUAUAUAUUCUGGCAGUCUUGUAAAAAUUGUUGAUACUUACAGUAGAGGGCAGCAGAGAAGCAUACGUCAAGAUGAAAUGCUGGCACGUGUCCAAAGUCCCUCUGCUAGGGACCCUUUGGAAUGAUGUGUGGCUACAUCAUUUAGGGUAAGUUUCAGCAGUUUAAGAAGAUAAAAGUUGAGAAGAUAAAGCGACUAUAAAACACUAAAAGAUUGAGAUUUAGAAAACAAGGACUGUUAAACGUGUUGAUCUUGAAAGUAUAAAUAUUAAGUUUGUGAGCAGGAAUGCAUACCAUAUCAUUG